AGCGAACGCUGGCGGCAGGCUUAACACAUGCAAGUCGAGCGGGCACUUUCGGGUGUCAGCGGCGGACGGGUGAGUAACGCGUGGGAACGUGCCCUCUGGUUCGGAAUAACUCAGGGAAACUUGAGCUAAUACCGGAUACGCCCUUUUGGGGAAAGGCUUGCUGCCGGAGGAUCGGCCCGCGUCUGAUUAGCUAGUUGGUGAGGUAACGGCUCACCAAGGCGACGAUCAGUAGCUGGUCUGAGAGGAUGAUCAGCCACACUGGGACUGAGACACGGCCCAGGCUGGUGGGGGAGGCAGGAGGGGGGAAGCUGGCACAGGGGCGGGAAGGCGGAUCAAGUGGUGCGGGGGGAGUAAGGAAGGUGUGAGGGUUGUAGAUCGUCUUUAGCCGGGACGAGACCGACGGUACCGAGGGAAUAAGCCCCGGCUAACGUGGGGCCAGCCGCCGCGGUAAUAG
rnacentral:rRNA from 1 species